rnacentral:lncRNA from 1 species
GUCCUGAGCGUCAGCCUGUUGGGGAUGUCUAGCUCACAGAGCUGCUGGAUUUCGGGAUUUGGUUGGACACUGUCCACUCCAGAUUGCCUCUCUUUGAGAGUUGGUGGUUCCAACGGUUAAAGUUUCCACCUCCUUUUGUGGGCUUAAGCACCCGUGCUUCUCAAUCAUUUCCCUAAGCUCUGUCACUUUUGAUAGAGACUUUUUACCACAGCUGGAGUUUCAAUCUCGUGGUGCCCUGAAAGGCUGAACAGAAUAGUUCCUACCAUGUGUGGCCAAGGAUACCAGAGUCUGAGCAGGAAGAGAGAGGAUCCAGCAUCUGUGGUGACCUACUACUUUCUGGGAACAGUCCUGGGCUCUCUAUCUGGCUUUCACCCAAAGCAACACGGAGGUGUGUACCAUGCCUACAUGCAGGCCACAGAACAUUGACUUCAUUUAUGUUCACCAAAGAAGAUGUGAGACAAUUUCAAAUCUGAGAAGAAAUAGAACACUUGUCUGAAUACUUAUUCAGAAUACUACAGAAUAGUAGGUGACUGCUGGAGUUUUGGGGUACUCAGCUGCUCGGAACAUUUCUCCCC